rnacentral:rRNA from 1 species
CCUACGGGUGGCUGCAGUGGGGAAUUUUGGACAAUGGGCGCAAGCCUGAUCCAGCCAUGCCGCGUGAGUGAAGAAGGCCUUCGGGUUGUAAAGCUCUUUCGGCCGGAACGAAAUCGUCCGGGCUAAUACCUCGGAUGGAUGACGGUACUGGCAGAAGAAGCACCGGCUAACUACGUGCCAGCAGCCGCGGUAAUACGUAGGGUGCAGGCGUUAAUCGGAAUUACUGGGCGUAAACCGUGCGCAGGCGGGAAAGCCCCGGGCUUAACCGGGGAACUGCGUUUGAAACUGGGAGGCUGGAGUGCGGCAGAGGGGGGUGGAAUUCCACGUGUAGCAGUGAAAUGCGUAGAUAUGUGGAGGAACACCGAUGGCGAAGGCAGCCCCCUGGGCCUGCACUGACGCUCAUGCACGAAAGCGUGGGGAGCAAACAGGAUUAGAUACCCUAGUAGUC